UUAUUCAUUAGUUUUUGUUUUUUAUUUUUGUUUUAAUAAAAGUGCUUUUUUAUUUUAGUUUUUUCUUAAUUAAUAUGUUUAUCUUGUUCUGUAAAGUUUUCUUUAUAUAAGGUUAAAGUAAAAAGUGUUGUUGUACCUUUUGUAUCAGGGUUUGUUAAAAUGAUGGAGAUCAUUACUUUUUAUCCCGAAAGAAUGGGAUCUAAUAUAUUAUUUGGUUUAUUGUUUCAUAAAUUAUUCUGAAUAAUUUAUUGGGGCUGAAAUGGUAGUCGUAUUUUUAUAUCUGGUUUUUUAAAAAACAGAUUUAAUCUGGUGAUUAAUUAUGGUGUGAUAAUUUAUUUUUAUAUGAGUACUAUUUAGUUUUUUUUGUUUAAGGGGUGAGCUUUAGAUAUGAUUUCUAUAAUUUUGGAAGUGGGGUUAUAUUUGUGAGUAGGAUUAGAAGUAUCCACCUUUAAUUGUGUUUUGACUGGAAUUAAUUUUAUUAAAAUAUUUAUUUAUUUUUAGUAUUUUAUUAAGAAAUUUGUUUUAAUUUAAUUUAUUUAUUUAUUAUGAUUGAAUUAGUAAAUGAGAGAGGUUGAGGGGAGGGAAUUCGGCAAAUUUAAUUUCCGCCUGUUUAACAAAAACAUGUCUUAUUGAUUUAUUUAUUUUGGGUUGUGCCUGCCCCAUGAUUUAUUUAAAUGGCUGCGGUAUUUUGACCGUGCAAAGGUAGCAUAAUAAUUAGUUCUUUAAAUGGGGGCUUGGAUGAAUGGUUUAACGAGAGAUUAACUUUUUUACCUUAAUUCUUUUUUAAUUUAAUAAUUUGGUUAAAAGGCCUGUAUUUAUCAGAGGGACGAGAAGCCCCUAUAGAACUUUAUUGAUAUUAAUGUUUGAUUAUGUUUUGGUGUUUUGGUUGUUGAUCAUUGGUGUUUUUUUGAUUGGGGUGAUUUUAGAAUUUCUUGAACUUCUUUCUGGUUUAUUUAAAUAUUUUUAAUUAUUUUUUGAUCUCUUGUAAGGAUUAUUAGGUAAGUUACCUUAGGGGUAACAGCGUGAUUUAGUUGUGGAGUUCUUAUCGAUAACUGGGAUUCGACCUCGAUGUUGGAUUAAGGUAAAAAUUGGGGGUAGUUUCUCAAUGUUUAAGUCUGUUCGACUUUUAUAACCUUACAUGAUCUGAGUUCAGACCGGUGUGAGCCAGGUUGGUUUCUAUCUUUUGUUGUUUUUAUUUAUUAGUACGAAAGGACCAUUAAUUUGGAAUUAUUUUUAUUUUUUUGUUUAUUAUUUA
rnacentral:rRNA from 1 species